rnacentral:tRNA from 1 species
UCUAAUAUGGCAGAUAAGUGCAGUAGAUUUAAGCUCUACAUAUAAAGAUUAUACUUUUAUUAGAA